UACGUAGGUGGCAAGCGUUGUCCGGAAUUAUUGGGCGUAAAGCGCGCGCAGGCGGUCCUUUAAGUCUGAUGUGAAAGCCCACGGCUCAACCGUGGAGGGUCAUUGGAAACUGGGGGACUUGAGUACAGAAGAGAAGAGUGGAAUUCCACGUGUAGCGGUGAAAUGCGUAGAGAUGUGGAGGAACACCGGUGGCGAAGGCGGCGAUCUGGACGAUGACUGACGCUGAGACGCGAAAGCGUGGGGAGCAAACAGG
rnacentral:rRNA from 1 species